UGUGAGCUCGAUGAGUAGGGCGGGACACGUGGUAUCCUGUCUGAAUAUGGGGGGACCAUCCUCCAAGGCUAAAUACUCCUGACUGACCGAUAGUGAACCAGUACCGUGAGGGAAAGGCGAAAAGAACCCCGGCGAGGGGAGUGAAAAAGAACCUGAAACCGUGUACGUACAAGCAGUGGGAGCACGCUUCGGCGUGUGACUGCGUACCUUUUGUAUAAUGGGUCAGCGACUUAUAUUCUGUAGCAAGGUUAACCGAAUAGGGGAGCCGAAGGGAAACCGAGUCUUAACUGGGCGUUAAGUUGCAGGGUAUAGACCCGAAACCCGGUGAUCUAGCCAUGGGCAGGUUGAAGGUUGGGUAACACUAACUGGAGGACCGAACCGACUAAUGUUGAAAAAUUAGCGGAUGACUUGUGGCUGGGGGUGAAAGGCCAAUCAAACCGGGAGAUAGCUGGUUCUCCCCGAAAGCUAUUUAGGUAGCGCCUCGUGAAUUCAUCUCCGGGGGUAGAGCACUGUUUCGGCAAGGGGGUCAUCCCGACUUACCAACCCGAUGCAAACUGCGAAUACCGGAGAAUGUUAUCACGGGAGACACACGGCGGGUGCUAACGUCCGUCGUGAAGAGGGAAACAACCCAGACCGCCAGCUAAGGUCCCAAAGUCAUGGUUAAGUGGGAAACGAUGUGGGAAGGCCCAGACAGCCAGGAUGUUGGCUUAGAAGCAGCCAUCAUUUAAAGAAAGCGUAAUAGCUCACUGGUCGAGUCGGCCUGCGCGGAAGAUGUAACGGGGCUAAACCAUGCACCGAAGCUGCGGCAGCGACGCUGAUGCGUUGUUGGGUAGGGGAGCGUUCUGUAAGCCUGCGAAGGUGUGCUGUGAGGCAUGCUGGAGGUAUCAGAAGUGCGAAUGCUGACAUAAGUAACGAUAAAGCGGGUGAAAAGCCCGCUCGCCGGAAGACCAAGGGUUCCUGUCCAACGUUAAUCGGGGCAGGGUGAGUCGACCCCUAAGGCGAGGCCGAAAGGCGUAGUCGAUGGGAAACAGGUUAAUAUUCCUGUACUUGGUGUUACUGCGAAGGGGGGACGGAGAAGGCUAUGUUGGCCGGGCGACGGUUGUCCCGGUUUAAGCGUGUAGGCUGGUUUUCCAGGCAAAUCCGGAAAAUCAAGGCUGAGGCGUGAUGACGAGGCACUACGGUGCUGAAGCAACAAAUGCCCUGCUUCCAGGAAAAGCCUCUAAGCAUCAGGUAACAUCAAAUCGUACCCCAAACCGACACAGGUGGUCAGGUAGAGAAUACCAAGGCGCUUGAGAGAACUCGGGUGAAGGAACUAGGCAAAAUGGUGCCGUAACUUCGGGAGAAGGCACGCUGAUAUGUAGGUGA
rnacentral:rRNA from 1 species